UACGUAGGGUGCGAGCGUUGUCCGGAAUUAUUGGGCGUAAAGAGCUUGUAGGCGGCUUGUUGCGUCUGCUGUGAAAAUCCGGGGCUCAACCCCGGACUUGCGGUGGGUACGGGCAGACUAGAGUGUGGUAGGGGAGACUGGAAUUCCUGGUGUAGCGGUGAAAUGCGCAGAUAUCAGGAGGAACACCGAUGGCGAAGGCAAGUCUCUGGGCCAGUACUGACGCUGAGAAGCGGAAGCAUGGGGAGCGAACAGG
rnacentral:rRNA from 1 species